UACGGAGGAUGCGAGCGUUAUCCGGAUUUAUUGGGUUUAAAGGGUGCGUAGGCGGAGUGUCAAGUCAGCGGUAAAAUUUCGGGGCUCAACCCCGGCGAGCCGUUGAAACUGCCGUGCUAGAGAGGAAGAGAAGUAGGCGGAAUGCGCAGUGUAGCGGUGAAAUGCUUAGAUAUUGCGCAGAACUCCGAUUGCGAAGGCAGCCUACCGGCGCUCAACUGACGCUGAGGCACGAAAGUGCGGGUAUCGAACAGG
rnacentral:rRNA from 1 species